CCUCCAUCUACUGACAUGUGGGGUUGCUCAGUGUCCACCAGUGUCGUCUGCGGAGGUAGAGCAGAGCCAAGACUGCCUUCAGCGCCAGUGUGUUCGGUGUCUGCUGAUGCUAUUCUCAAAUCUUGGUACACAG